rnacentral:rRNA from 1 species
GAUGAACGCUGGCGGCGUGCCUAAUACAUGCAAGUCGAGCGAACAGACGAGGAGCUUGCUCCUCUGACGUUAGCGGCGGACGGGUGAGUAACACGUGGAUAACCUACCUAUAAGACUGGGAUAACUUCGGGAAACCGGAGCUAAUACCGGAUAACAUGUUGAACCGCAUGGUUCAACAGUGAAAGACGGUCUUGCUGUCACUUAUAGAUGGAUCCGCGCCGCAUUAGCUAGUUGGUAAGGUAACGGCUUACCAAGGCAACGAUGCGUAGCCGACCUGAGAGGGUGAUCGGCCACACUGGAACUGAGACACGGUCCAGACUCCUACGGGAGGCAGCAGUAGGGAAUCUUCCGCAAUGGGCGAAAGCCUGACGGAGCAACGCCGCGUGAGUGAAGAAGGUCUUCGGAUCGUAAACCUCUGUUAUUAGGGAAGAACAAAUGUGUAAGUAACUAUGCACGUCUUGACGGUACCUAAUCAGAAAGCCACGGCUAACUACGUG